GCUCCCUCCCUCUCUAACCUCUUUUUUUUUUUUUCUUCCCAUCCCCCAUGGUCUUCUGUUAAGUUUUUCAGGAUCCACAUAAGAGUGAAAACAUAUGGUAUCUGUCUCUCUCUGUAUGGCUUAUUUCACUUAGCAUCACACUCUCCAGUUCCAUCCACGUUGCUACAAAGGGCCAUAUUUCAUUCUUUCUCAUUGCCACGUAGUACUCCAUUGUGUAUAUAAACCACAAUUUCUUUAUCCAUUCAUCCGUUGAUGGACAUUUCGGCUCUUUCCAUAAUUUGGCUAUUGUUGAGAGUGCUGCUAUAAACAUUGGGGUGCAAGUGCCCCUAUGCAUCAGCACUCCUGUAUCCCUUGGGGAAAUUCCUAGCAGUGCUAUUGCUGGGUCAUAGGGUAGGUCUAUUUUUAAUUUUUUGAGGAACCUCCACACUGUUUUCCAGAGUGGCUGCACCAAUUUGCAUUCCCACCAGCAGCCAAAGCAGUGUUUUUAAUUCUCUCCACCUUUACUUUGUUCGUUGUCUUGGGCAUCCGUGGUAGCCGAUAUCAUCCAUCUGUGGCUGCGGCUCUGUUUUAAUCUCGGCGUUAGGCCUCGGUGGCAUCUUGAGUUAGAGUCUUGUAUGAGACUGCCCUCCUGACUGGGAAAAUGAAGGAAAUGAUACUAUUCACCUCACAGGUGCCCGGGGAUGUUGGCAAGGUUGAAGAAGAUGGCUUGUCCGAAAUGCAGCUGAAGGGCUUGACAAAUGGAAAUUAUCGCUACUGUUCUGCAUGUUAGAUUCCCAGAUUUUCCUUAAUAGAGACAACAGAGCCUUCAUGGUGUGAUGCGGGAGACAGCUGAAGUGGGCAGUGACAGGCCUCUGCCUACUAAUUGGUCCCCGAUUCUGACCCCAAAUGGGAAAAUCUGAAGUUCGAGGUCCGGUACGCAAGCAGUUCAAGCCUCGUAUCAUGCCAUUGGAAGAGCAAAAAGGCGUGUCUAGUGUCUCCUUAAUUUCUGGAUAAUGCUUAGCCCACAUUUUAACUGUGGAUAGACAAGGCAUUAGGAAACACUGACAGUUGUACCCAGAUUUUAAAAAUGUGGGUUCCAAAUGCUUCAAAAGAUCACAAAGUCGUGACAUUUAGCCAUGGUGUUCAUAUCAGGUGCACCAUCACUGAAGCUGAAGUGGCAACGUUCACACCUCGCUAGGUCCUAGGCACGAAGUUUUAUACAAGCUUUUUUUCUUACUGUGUCUCACUAUGAACUUGCUGUUGUGAGUGGAUAGGCAGCAUCUUUGGCCACAAAAAGACUUAUGUGAAAAUAUAAAUCUAAAGGAGUGUCUGCUGUGAAUCUCUUCUCUCUUCUCAGACAAACAGAGGCCUGAUGGGGCCAUGAACUCUGGCUGGGAUGUGAUUUUAUGGAAGCAGGAGUUGGUGAUCAUUUAUCAAAAGGAGCGAUCUGAAACGUUGCAUCUCAAUGGGGUGAUAGAAAACAGUGUGGCAGAAAUCCACUUCUCUUAUCAGGGAGCCCCGAAAGAUGCUUCCAAGAAUUCAUGAACAUUUAUAUCAGCAUUCUUCUACAAUCACAGGUGUCUAGUGUGCCCUAGGGAGGAAGGGGAGAAGACAGGAGCUCGGAGGUUCAUCAAUUGGGAAAGCGAACUGAAUGCAGAAUUCUUCCCAUAGCAAGUCAUGUUAUCCACGCAAGCAGCCCCAUGGACAAGGGCGAGGCCCUACAGUGGUUACAAUGGCGGACAGCACAGUGGGUCCAGACACACCACAGAUCAUUGCCAGCCCUGCGCGCGCAGCUACUUGGCCAUGUUCCUGGCCCUGAACCACACCAAUGAGCUGACCUUCGCAUGUUAGCUAUUGUUUUCCAGAGAAAACUGGGCCUAUGCAUGUUGUACAGACAAUACGGAUUUAUGUCUGGUUUUGGAAAAAAUAAGUUCUAGCAUGCACUCUACUGAAUAGGCCGGUUGCCAGAGCUUCAGGUCUUUUCACUGUUGUUCUGUGAAAAACCGGAGCAAAUGAUAAGUUCUCAACUCUUUUGCUAUGGGCCAAAAAUGGAAGAUGUCUAUAAAAGCGCCUCCCGAUAUAAGGAAGUGAUGCUGGUUCUAGGAAGAAGAGAAGACGAGCUUCCUAGAAGUUUCAGAUGUGCUAACUGCCACGUGCACGCAGGAGACCUUAACCUCUGUAGUUUUCAGCCGGAGGCAGCGACUAUCCACGACACGUAGUAAUCAGAGAUAAUAGUAAGCUAGAGAGAAUCACUCCGCCUUGCAGUCUGGCCCUUUCCACAAUCUGAGCAACAGAAGGUAUGCUCUUCCAGGCCACGAGCCGAUUCUUUCUUGUUCAGUUGUACGCUGGGCCCCCAACACCGCGUUUGACAUGAUGCAUGCUUGCCGGAAGAGAAAUGAAUGAAUCUGAGUGUUUUGCUUACUUAUCGCUAUAUAACUCUCAUCUGCUAAUAAAUGGUGUGUUGUGAAAGUGGCCAUGGGGUGAGAGAGCACACUUGACAAAGCCAAUUAACUUUUGUUGUGAAACUGCCCAGGAAAUUGAAGCCACUCCAUGAGAAUGUCAUAGUGU